UACAGAGGGGGCAAGCGUUGUUCGGAAUUACUGGGCGUAAAGGGCGCGUAGGCGGCCUGUUAAGUCGAACGUGAAAUCCCCGGGCUCAACCCGGGAACUGCGUCCGAUACUGGCAGGCUUGAAUUCGGGAGAGGGAUGUGGAAUUCCAGGUGUAGCGGUGAAAUGCGUAGAUAUCUGGAGGAACACCGGUGGCGAAGGCGGCAUCCUGGACCGACAUUGACGCUGAUGAGCGAAAGCUAGGGGAGCAAACGGG
rnacentral:rRNA from 1 species